GUCCCUGUAGGGCAAUGGACAGCGCGUUAGAUUUCUAAUCCAAAGGUCGUGGGUUUGAAUCCCACCAGGGAUG